UACGUAGGGGGGCAAGCGUUGUCCGGAUUUAUUGGGCGUAAAGAGCGUGUAGGCGGCCAGGUAGGUCUGCUGUGAAAACUCGAGGCUUAACCUCGAGAUGUCGGCGGAAACCAUCUGGCUAGAGUCCGGAAGAGGAGAGUGGAAUUCCCGGUGUAGCGGUGAAAUGCGCAGAUAUCGGGAAGAACACCCGUGGCUAAGGCGGCUCUCUAGUACGGUACUGACGCUGAGACGCGAAAGCGUGGGGAGCGAACAGG
rnacentral:rRNA from 1 species